rnacentral:rRNA from 1 species
AUUAAGUUUAAUUUAAUAUAGGAUCUGCUCAAUGAUUUUUUAAAUAGCUGCAGUAUUUUGACUGUGCAAAGGUAGCAUAAUAAUUAGUCUUUUAAUUGAGGACUUGUAUGAAAGAUUUGAUGAAAAAUAAACUUUAUUAUCUAUAUAAUUAAAAUUUUAUUUUUAAGUUAAAAAGCUUAAAUUGUUUAAAGGGACGAUAAGACCCUAUAAAACUUUAUAAAUAUUAUUUUUAAUUUUUUUUGGAAAUAUAAAUAUUUUUAUUUUAAUAUUUAUUUUAUUGGGGUGAUAAAAAAAUUUAAUUAACUUUUUUUAAAGAUUUACAUUAUUUAAUGAAUAUUUGAAUUAAAAAUUUUAAUUAAAGGAAAAAGUUACUUUAGGGAUAACAGCGUAAUUAAUUUUUUAAGUUCAAAUUUUAAAAUUAGUUUGCGACCUCGAUGUUGAAUUAAGAUUAAUCUUAGGUGCAAAAUUUUAAGUGUUAGGUCUGUUCGACCUUUAAAUUCUUACGUGA